rnacentral:lncRNA from 1 species
UCAGUCCCAGGGUAUGCAAUAACUUGUGCUUUUAUUUCAGUCUCCCGUAGUUCAGGCACUGCCUCCUUAAGGUUGUGAAUGCUUUCCAUGGCAUAAUCGGCACCUUUAACUCUGUGGGAUUUACCAACCUGAAUGUUGCAAUCAAUGAGAAUAUGUAGAGACUCGUUUAAAGGAAAUCCAACAAUGUUAAGGAAACUCCCUCUUACAAUCUUUAUUAUAUUACCACAGUUUCAUCUUUUUUUUCUUUUAUUUUACAAUCUUUAAUGUAAUCUACAUCAAGAUAGGUGAUUUUUAUUAUUUUUUUAUGUUUUUUAAAACCAAAAUAUGAUAAAUAUACUAAUUUGAUACCAACAUUUACUUUGCUACUUUUUUUAAUCAAAACUGGUAACAUGUUAAUUCAAAAGUAAUGCAGAUAAUGGCAGAAACCAAAUUAGUGAGUUUGUACUACACAGCAAAGUUCCCAACAAUGACAUACCAGCACAGUGUGAAGACCCACUCGUUUUCCAGCUUCUAUGUUGCGGACACUAUCCUCAAAGAACAACUGAAUGUGGCAAAGAACAGGUAAAAAGUUUAAACAGAUCACUCCAUAAAUUUAAGCAGAAAAAAGAUAAACUUUAGAGCCCUUUUGGAUUCCAAAUUUUGAUUGAUCUAGAUUGAAUUGGACAAUGUGAUGAAUUGUUGAUUUAUGUUGUUAUUUAGUGAUCAUCAAUAGUAUUUUGUCCUUUCUAUUGGUCUUUGUUUGGGAAUGAUGAUUUGGUAUUUUGGCUUGAUGGCUAGAUAGUAUUCUUAUAGUAAUAUUUUUAUGUAUCUUUAUGUAUAUAGAUACUUUUUUAUAUGUAUCUAAUUAUCAUUAUUUAUUUGCUGAUAAAAAUAGAAGUUCUUAAAAUAUAAAUGCUUAAAAACAAUCCAAUCAUUAUUGAAUGAUAACAUGACAAACAUUUUGGUACCAUAGCUAUAUAGCAUGACAUGACAUGUUUAUAAAGACAGAAAGUACUGAAAUUUUUUCAAGAGAUAAAAUCAAAAUGUGUGAUGUUUUUUUAUCAGCAUGUAUGAUGUUUGUAAGGACUAAUAAACAUUAAACCAAAAAUAAUUAUUGUGAAAGUUAACACAAUUGCAUCAUAGAGUCCACAGAAAGGUUGAUUUUCUUACUGUUCUUUUGGGAUUAAGGUUGGCUAUCUUGAGAGCCAAUUCAAUGGCAUGUUCUGAUGGUUUGCAGAUAACUGGUGAGCUUGGAAGGACUGUAGUGGGAUCUGGUUGAGCAAAGUGUUCUAUGAUGUCAAAGAUUUCUGAGCAUUUUAGACCAGUUUUGGGUGUUGGAUUAGUGGCCUUUGAACCAGCAACCUCUGUGAUCUCAGUGCCAUUGU